rnacentral:rRNA from 1 species
GAUGAACGCUGGCGGCGUGCCUAAUACAUGCAAGUCGAGCGAACAGACGAGGAGCUUGCUCCUCUGACGUUAGCGGCGGACGGGUGAGUAACACGUGGAUAACCUACCUAUAAGACUGGGAUAACUUCGGGAAACCGGAGCUAAUACCGGAUAAUAUAUUGAACCGCAUGGUUCAAUAGUGAAAGACGGUUUUGCUGUCACUUAUAGAUGGAUCCGCGCCGCAUUAGCUAGUUGGUAAGGUAACGGCUUACCAAGGCAACGAUGCGUAGCCGACCUGAGAGGGUGAUCGGCCACACUGGAACUGAGACACGGUCCAGACUCCUACGGGAGGCAGCAGUAGGGAAUCUGCCGCAAUGGGCGAAAGCAUGACGGAGCAACGCCGCGUGAGUGAUGAAGGUCUUCGGAUCGUAAAACUCUGUUAUUAGGGAAGAACAAAUGUGUAAGUAACUAUGCACGUCUUGACGGUACCUAAUCAGAAAGCCACGGCUAACUACGUG